GAUUAACGCUGGCGGUGUGUAUAAUACAUGUAAGUCGAACGAGUCUUCGGACUAGUGGCGGACGAGCGAGUAACACGUUGGAACCUACCCCAAACUCAGGGAUAACAUUAAGAAAUUAAUGCUAAUACCGGAUAGUCCCGCAAGGGUAAAGAUUUUUCGGUUUGGGAGGGGCCUGCGGCCUAUCAGCUUGUUGGUGAGGUAAUAGCUCACCAAGGCUAUGACGGGUAGCUGAUCUGAGAGGAUGAUCAGCCGCGAUGGGACUGAGACACGGCCCAU
rnacentral:rRNA from 1 species